UGUUAUGGCAUUACGCUUGAU
rnacentral:piRNA from 1 species